CCUACGGGAGGCAGCAGUGAGGAAUAUUGGUCAAUGGGAGUGAGCCUGAACCAGCCAAGCCGCGUGAGGGAAGACGGCCCUAUGGGUUGUAAACCUCUUUUAUCGGGGAACAAAACCCGGGACGUGUCCCGUUCUGCAUGUACCCUAUGAAUAAGGAUCGGCUAACUCCGUGCCAGCAGCCGCGGUAAUACGGGGGAUGCGAGCGUUAUCCGGAUUUAUUGGGUUUAAAGGGUGCGUAGGCGGCCCUUUAAGUCAGCGGGAAAAGUUGGGGGCUCAACCCCAGCCGGGCCGUUGAAACUGGCGGACUUGAGUUGGUUAGAGGUAGGCGGAAUGCGCGGUGUAGCGGUGAAAUGCAUAGAUAUCGCGCAGAACCCCGAUUGCGAAGGCAGCGUGCC
rnacentral:rRNA from 1 species